rnacentral:tRNA from 1 species
AUUUAAGUAGUUUAUAUCAAUAUAAAAUGUAGGGUUGUGAUUCCUAAGAAGUUAUUAGCCUUAGAUU